UGCGCUGAUCCUGCCGGACCUGACUGCUAUCGGAUUGAUACUAAGCCAUGCGAGUCAUUGUAGCAAGGCAAGGCAGACGGCUCAGUAACGCGUAGUCAACCUACCCUAUGGACGGGGAUAACCUCGGGACCCUGAGAAUAAUACCAGAUAGAACAUUAUGCCUGGAAUGGUUUAUGUUUAAAAUAAUUUAUUGCCGUAGGAUGGGACUGCGGCCUAUCAGUUUGUUGGUGAGGUAAUGGCCCGCCAAGACUAUUACAGGUACGGGCUCUGAGAGGAGUAGCCCGGAGAUGGGUACUGAGACACGGACCCAGGCCCUAUGGGGCGCAGCAGGCGAGAAAACUUUGCAAUGUGCGAUUGCACGACAAGGUUAAUCCGAGUGAUUUCUGCUAAAGGAAUCUUUUGUCAGUCCUAGAGGCACUGUUGAAUAAGGGGUGGGCAAGUUCUGGUGUCAGCCGCCGCGGUAAAACCAGCACGUCAAGUGGUCAGGAUGAUUAUUGGGCCUAAAGCAUCCGUCGCCUGCUUUGUCAGUUUUCGGUUAAAUCCAUACGCUCAACGUAUGGGCUGCCGGAAAUACUGCAAAGCUAGGGAGUGGGAGAGGUAGACGGUACUCGGGAGGAAGGGGUAAAAUCCUUUGAUCUCUCGAUGACCACCUGUGGCGAAGGCGGUCUACCAGAACACGUCCGACGGUGAGGGAUGAAAGCUGGGGGAGCAAACCGGAUUAGAUAUUCGGGUAGUCCCAGCUGUAAACUAUGCAAACUCAGUGAUGCAUUGGCUUGAUGCCAAUGCAGUGUUGCAGGGAAGCCGUUAAGUUUGCCGCCUGGGAAGUACGUACGCAAGUAUGAAACUUAAAGGAAACUUG
rnacentral:rRNA from 2 species